rnacentral:rRNA from 1 species
UUGAACGCUGGCGGCAUGCUUUACACAUGCAAGUCGAACGGUAACAGGGAGCUUGCUCCGCUGACGAGUGGCGAACGGGUGAGUAAUGCAUCGGAACGUGCCCAGUCGUGGGGGAUAACGCAGCGAAAGCUGUGCUAAUACCGCAUACGAUCUAUGGAUGAAAGCGGGGGACCGUAAGGCCUCGCGCGAUUGGAGCGGCCGAUGUCAGAUUAGCUAGUUGGUGGGGUAAAGGCCCACCAAGGCGACGAUCUGUAGCUGGUCUGAGAGGACGACCAGCCACACUGGAACUGAGACACGGUCCAGACUCCUACGGGAGGCAGCAGUGGGGAAUUUUGGACAAUGGGCGCAAGCCUGAUCCAGCAAUGCCGCGUGCAGGAAGAAGGCCUUCGGGUUGUAAACUGCUUUUGUACGGAACGAAACGGUCUGGGCUAAUACCCUGGGCUAAUGACGGUACCGUAAGAAUAAGCACCGGCUAACUACGUG